rnacentral:rRNA from 1 species
GGCCUACCAUGGUGGUAACGGGUAACGGGGUGUUAGGGCACGACACCGGAGAGGGAGCCUGAGAAACGGCUACCACAUCCAAGGAAGGCAGCAGGCGCGCAAAUUACCCAAUCCCAACUCGGGGAGGUAGUGACAAUAAAUAACAGUACAGGGCUCUUUUGGGUCUUGUCAUUGGAAUGAGUACAAUCUAAAAACCUUAACGAGGACCAAUUGGAGGGCAAGUCUGGUGCCAGCAGCCGCGGUAAUUCCAGCUCCAAUAGCGUAUAUUAAAGUUGUUGCAGUUAAAAAGCUCGUAGUUGAACCUCGGAAUCAAUGGGUCGGUCAUGCCAAUGGUAUGUACUGGCCUCUUUGGUUCUCACCUUCUAAGGAACCAUAAUGUCAUUUAUUUGAUGUUGUGGGAAAUUAGGACUGUUACCUUGAAAAAAUUAGAGUGUUUAAAGCAGGCUAACGCUUGAAUACAUUAGCAUGGAAUAAUGAAAUAGGACGUUCGAUCCUAUUUUGUUGGUUUCUAGGAUUGACGUAAUGAUUAAUAGGGAUAGUUGGGGGCAUUAGUAUUCAAUUGUCAGAGGUGAAAUUCUUGGAUUUAUUGAAGACUAACUACUGCGAAAGCAUUUGCCAAGGAUGUUUUCAUUAAUCAAGAACGAAAGUUAGGGGAUCGAAGACGAUCAGAUACCGUCGUAGUCUUAACCAUAAACUAUGCCGACUAGGGAUCGGAUGAUGUUAAUUUUUUAAUGACUCAUUCGGCGCCUUACG